GUAGGCAUAGUUCAACCAGAAUUUUAGAUUGUGAUUCUAAAGAUAGAAGUUAAAAUCUUCUUGCCAACC
rnacentral:tRNA from 1 species